rnacentral:lncRNA from 1 species
GAGAUUCAUUGUUAGAAGAAACAUGCCAGCAGUGUGAGAAACUUCAACCAUGAAUGUUCCCAUACACCUCAGCCCAGUCCAGCCCAGCCCGUCCAAGCCCAGCCCAGCCCAGCCCGGCCCAGCUGCAUGCAGACCAGCCCUAAGUCUGGUAGUAGAGACAAUAAAGGACAGCAACAUCAGAGACAGACAAUGGAGGGCAGCAACAGAGACAAUGGAACAAAGCAACAGACAACUGAGUGGGGAGCAACAGACGAAGAAAUAAGGACAGCAACAACAGAUUCACAACAAACUUAUAAUAAAUAAAAUAUGUCUAAAUUAAAAGGUUUGAAG